UACGUAGGGGGCCAGCGUUGUCCGGAAUCAUUGGGCGUAAAGAGCGCGUAGGCGGCCAGAUAAGUCUGGUGUGAAAGUCAAAGGCUCAACCUUUGAAUGCCGCUGGAAACUGUCUGGCUAGAGUCCGGGAGGGGCGAGUGGAAUUCCUGGUGUAGCGGUGAAAUGCGCAGAUAUCAGGAGGAACACCAAUGGCGAAGGCAGCUCGCUGGAACGGUACUGACGCUGAGGCGCGAAAGCGUGGGGAGCGAACAGG
rnacentral:rRNA from 1 species